GAUGAACGCUGGCGGCGUGCCUAAUACAUGCAAGUCGAGCGAACAGACGAGGAGCUUGCUCCUCUGACGUUAGCGGCGGUCGGGUGAGUAACACGUGGAUAACCUACCUAUAAGACUGGGAUAACUUCGGGAAACCGGAGCUAAUACCGGAUAACAUGUUGAACCGCAUGGUUCAACAGUGAAAGACGGUUUUGCUGUCACUUAUAGAUGGAUCCGCGCCGCAUUAGCUAGUUGGUAAGGUAACGGCUUACCAAGGCAACGAUGCGUAGCCGACCUGAGAGGGUGAUCGGCCACACUGGAACUGAGACACGGUCCAGACUCCUACGGGAGGCAGCAGUAGGGAAUCUUCCGCAAUGGGCGAAAGCCUGACGGAGCAACGCCGCGUGAGUGAAGAAGGUCUUCGGAUCGUAAAACUCUGUUAUUAGGGAAGAACAAAUGUGUAAGUAACUAUGCACGUCUUGACGGUACCUAAUCAGAAAGCCACGGCUAACUACGUG
rnacentral:rRNA from 1 species